GAAAUAAUAAAAUAGAACUUCUAAUUCUAAUAAAAAUGAUCAAUCAUUUAUAUUUCU
rnacentral:tRNA from 1 species